AUGCCUCAAGGCUCUGUCUAGUUGGGAUGGAUGCGCUCUUUCUGUGUCAAGACGUGACAUGUAACAACCAGUCCAUUUUUCCAUCUUUCUUCAGUUCCUAUGUAGUCCACGAGGGCAUCUCUGUCUCCUGUGCCUCCACAAAACACCUGGAAGGGCUCUGGGAGACUCAAGGAGCUUUUGGUAAAAUGGGUCCCUGAACUCUUGGACAUACACUGCAGCCGUGGGCCACAAACAUCUUGGAGAAAAUGUUUCACCACCAAAAGAAGAGGCUCAAACACAGAGGCCAGCUUUUACGGAUGACCUUACUAUGCUGUGAGCCACCAGCCACACAGAAGCAUCAGCUAAUCCCUGGUGAGCAUCAGGAAAUGGCUGCAGAAGUGAUUCCCUGUGAGGUGAAAAAUGGAGCUGGGCAACCAAUCGCCUGA